rnacentral:rRNA from 1 species
UACGGGGGGGGCAAGCGUUGUUCGGAAUUACUGGGCGUAAAGGGCUCGUAGGUGGCCAACUAAGUCAGACGUGAAAUCCCUCGGCUUAACCGGGGAACUGCGUCUGAUACUGGAUGGCUUGAGUUCGGGAGAGGGAUGCGGAAUUCCAGGUGUAGCGGUGAAAUGCGUAGAUAUCUGGAGGAACACCGGUGGCGAAGGCGGGUCUCUGGGCCGUAACUGACGCUGAGGAGCGAAAGCAUGGGGAGCGAACAGG